ensembl:lncRNA
GCUGAGUCUGCCCCAUAGCAUUGAGUCUGCCCCAUAGCACUGAGUCUGCCCCAUUGCAUUGUGUCUGCCCUAUAGCGCUGCAUCUGCCCUAUAGCGCUGAGUCUGCCCCAUAGCGCUGAGUCUGCCCCACAGCUCAGGGUCUGCCAUAUAAUAGUGGGUCUGCCCCAUAGCACUGCAUCUGCUCCAUAAUGCCAUGUCUGCCCCAUAGCUCAGGGUCUGCUCCAUAGAAUGGAGUCUGCCCCAUAGCGCUGCCCUACCGACCCCACAGCACCGUGGGGCUCAGCCCCAUAAGUGUAACGGGGCCACAAAGCAGGGCCGUGCCCCACAUCCCGCCCGCCGCGUCACCCCACAUGGACUCUGCCCCAUAACCCGACCUGGGGACACCGCCCCACAUCCUGACCCAAAAGAUGAUGGGGCUUCUGCCCCACAACUCAACCAAAGAACAUCGCCAUGGGCCGCCCCACAUCGCAGUGCUCUGCCCCACAUCACAACGCUCUGCCCCAUAUCACAGCACCCUGCCCCACAUCACAGUGCUCUGCCCCACAUCACCACAUUCUGCCCCACAAGUGAACCAAAGAAUGCUGCCAAGGGCUGCCCCACAUCCCCACAUCUUGGCGCUCUGCCCCACAUCACCACGUUCUGCCCCAUAUCACAGCACUCUGCCCCACAUCCCCACAUCGUGGUGCUCUGCCCCACACUGUGGCUUCUCUGCCCCACAUCACAGCACUCUACCCCACAUUAUGGCCUCUCUGCCCCAUAUUAUGGCUUCCCUGCCCCACAUCCGGGUGCUCUGCCCCACACCGUGGGCGUGGCCUCCCCAUAGUGGGCGUGGCCUCCCCAUAGUGGGCGUGGCCUCCCCAUAGUGGGCGUGGCCUCGCACCUAGUGGGCGUGGCCAACCCUUAGUGGGCGUGGCCUCCGUUCUGGCCCCGCUCCCACCCCCCCAGUCUCUGCCCCACACACACCGCCCCCUCCUGCCCCAUUCCCAGCCCCACAUGGCCCCAUAUCUCCCCCAUAUCCCCCCAUAUCCCCCCAUUACCCCCCAUUACCCCCCAUAUCCCCUCACGGACCGGCACAGCACAUCCUGCCGCUCAGAUCCACGUUUCUCUUCCUGCUCCCCUCCAUCCUCCGCCCGCAACGAGUCGAUCCCGCACCAACAGCAACGCUCCGCCCCUCCAUAAGCCACGCCCACUGUCACGCAAGACACGCCCACUCCCACAUAAGCCACGCCCACUCCCACAUAAGCCACGCCUACUCCCAUAUUAAGCCGCGCCCACUCCCACGUAAGCCACGCCCACACCCACAUUAAGCCACGCCCAUUCCCACGUAAGCCACGCCCACACCCGCAUUAAGCCGCGCCCACUGACGCGAAGGCCACGCCCACUCCCACAUAAGCCACGCCCACUCCCACAUUAAGCCACGCCCACUUCCACAUAAGCCACGCCCACGUCCACAUUAAGCCGGGCCCACUGACGCGCAGGCCACGCCCACUCCCACAUAAGCCACGCCCACUCCAUAUAAGCCCCGCCCACUCUCACGUAAGCCACACCCACUCCCACAUAAGCCACUCCCACUCCCACAUUAAGCCACGUCCACUCCCACAUUAAGCCACGCCCACUCCCACAUUAAGCCACGUCCACUCCCACAUUAAGCCACGCCCACUCCCACAUUAAGCCACGCCCACUCCCACAUUAAGCCACGCCCACUCCCACAUUAAGCCACGUCCACUCCCACAUUAAGCCACGUCCACGCCCACAUAAGCCACGCCCACUCUCACGUAAGCCACGCCCACACCCACAUUAAGCCACGCCCGCUCUCACGUAAGCCACGCCCACACCCACAUUAAGCCACGCCCGCUCCUUGUU